rnacentral:lncRNA from 1 species
AAGCUAAGAUAAGCGGGAAAGGAGGCCACGCAGCUCUUCCGCAGCAUACCAUAGAUCCGAUACUGGCAGCUUCAAAUGUUAUUGUUAGCUUACAACACCUCGUUUCACGAGAGGCAGAUCCUUUAGACUCUCAGGUAAUAAAUAUAAUCUUUGGCUCUUCAAAUGUCUCUAUAUAGCAUGUGGAUUGAUUUUAUCUAUGCGAGUGCUUACAGGUGGUUACAGUUGCUAAAUUUGAAGGCGGUGGUGCUUUCAAUGUGAUUCCUGACUCUGUUACUAUCGGUGGUACAUUCCGAGCUUUUUCAACUAAAAGCUUUAUGCAACUCAAGAAAAGAAUUGAGCAGGUCAGUAACUUUACCCUCUGAUGUGUAAACUUUUGUCUUACCGAACUGUUUUAACUCUCUUUGCAAAUCCAAUGUUUCAGGUUAUCACAAGGCAAGCGAGCGUGAAUAUGUGUAAUGCAACAGUGGAUUUCAUUGAAGAGGAGAAACCUUUUUUCCCACCAACUGUAAAUGACAAAGCCUUACACCAGUUUUUCAAGAACGUUUCAGGCGAUAUGUUAGGGAUUGAGAAUUACGUCGAGAUGCAACCAUUAAUGGGAUCAGAAGAUUUCUCUUUCUACCAACAAGCAAUCCCGGGACAUUUUAGCUUCGUUGGAAUGCAAAACAAAGCUCGUUCACCAAUGGCGAGCCCUCACUCGCCGUACUUUGAAGUUAACGAAGAAUUACUACCUUAUGGUGCUUCCCUUCAUGCUUCCAUGGCCACAAGAUAUCUUCUUGAACUAAAAGCUUCAACUCUAAAUAAGAGUAACAAAAAAGAUGAACUUUGAUGCCAACAAACAUUGGCUUCUCCUAUUCUUCUACUCUGAAAAAUGUCAAAACAUGGUAACAGUUUUUUCUUUUUUACAGAGCCUGCCAUGUAAAGAUUAAUAAAUUGUUAUGCAGUGUCAAGCUUCUAUUAAAUCCAAGAAAUGUUAUUACUGCAAACAAAAACAGAUUUGGGCCAUUGCAAUGAGAGAGCUGAAACGGUCAAUUUAAACAAAUCAGAUUGAGAGAUUUCAGAAGAUUCGACGCAUAAACAAAUGCUAAAAUUCGAGAGCUUGUUAACAUGUCUAACUGAUAAAGAUUCAAUUUUUCUUUCUUGUUUUUUCUUCUUCUUCUUUAGAUUCAAGUUCUGAUCUUUGCUUCUUUGAAAAUCACAAAUCUUUUCUUCUGGGUUUCUAUAAAAAACCCAUUUUUUGUUGUUGUCGUACAAACAUUUCCCGUAAAGAUUGGAUUUUUGUGUAAGCAUUUGAAGAUAGCUAAGAAAGUGAGAAGCUUUUAGAUGAAAGUGAUGGUAAUGGAGAUGGAGGAAUGUGUUAAAGAAAAUGGUUCAUCAACACCUAAAUCUAGAGUCACAAACCAAUCUAGAGCUCUCUUACCGUUGCGUCUGCUUCAGAUUCUGUUAUUGUUUCUUGUUUUGACUCUUGGGAUCUCUGUUGUUAGUAUACACAUGAUCAAGUUUUUGAAGAUUCAACGUUUAGAUCCUGUGGCUCCAAUUACUUUGCUCUCUACGUAUAAUCAUGAGAGUGUUACUUUAGAUAGCUUUAUUAGACCUCCUUCCAAUGUUUGGCACACAAUGAAUGAUAGUGAAUUGCUUUGGCGUGCUUCUAUAGAGCCGCAAAGAAAUGGUUAUCCGUUUAGACGUGUCCCUAAAUUGGCUUUCAUGUUUCUUGCCAAAGGUCCUUUACCAUUUGCUCCACUUUGGGAGAAGUUCUGUAAAGGACAUGAGGGUCUUUAUUCUAUCUAUGUUCAUUCGUUGCCUAGUUACAAAUCGGAUUUUUCGAGGUCGUCUGUGUUUUACAGAAGAUAUAUCCCUAGUCAGGUACUGUCAUUGAUGUUUCAGAGGAAAAUCUUGUUUUGUGUUUGUUUCUUGUGUUCUCACAGUAUUAGUUUCUUCUGUGUUAUAGGCUGUGGCAUGGGGAGAGAUGAGUAUGGGUGAAGCAGAGAGGAGGCUUUUGGCUAAUGCGUUGCUUGAUAUCUCUAAUGAAUGGUUUGUUCUGCUGUCUGAAUCAUGCAUUCCUCUGCGAGGUUUCAGCUUUAUCUAUAGUUAUGUCUCUGAAUCAAGAUAUAGUUUUAUGGGUGCUGCUGAUGAGGAAGGACCUGAUGGAAGAGGCAGAUACAGGACAGAAAUGGAACCUGAGAUCACACUAAGCCAGUGGCGAAAAGGGUCUCAGUGGUUUGAAAUUAACCGGAAACUCGCUGUUGAGAUUGUUCAAGACACUACUUACUAUCCCAAAUUCAAAGAGUUUUGUAGACCUCCAUGCUAUGUAGAUGAACAUUACUUCCCAACAAUGUUGUCUAUGAAACAUCGGGUUUUGCUUGCUAAUAGGACAUUGACAUGGACAGAUUGGUCACGUGGUGGUGCUCAUCCAGCUACUUUUGGUAAGGCUGAUGUAACGGAAAGUUUUCUCAAGAAGCUUACAGGAGCCAAAUCUUGCCUCUACAAUGAUCAUCAGUCUCAAAUCUGUUAUCUCUUUGCCAGAAAGUUUGCUCCAAGCGCAUUGGAGCCUUUACUGCAACUUGCACCCAAGAUUCUUGAGUUAGGCUCUAACAUAUCUUCCACUCGUCACUCUUGGUAUUUGUUUUGAGAAGUUCUUGAGUUUAGAGUAUGAUCAUGGACCGAACUGAUCAUUAGUUAAUCUCCUCUUUCACAAUGAUAUUACAGGUAUUGUGAAGGUUAAACAUAUUUUUUGACAUGACAGAUUAUUGAAUAAAGGGAGUUUUGAGUUCUUUUCAGCCCCUAGGAGCAUCCGUUACUCUUGUUCUAUGUUUAGAAGUCGAAAAAUUACUCGUUUUUUAAAGAAGAGUAAAGGCAUUUUCUUCUAAAUGUUGUUGUGUUGGCAUGUUUCAUUUGCAUUUUCUCAUGGUAUCAAGGAAAAGUGAUUGCAAUUAGAGGGAUCAAAAACUAUAAAAUUUGGAAUUGUUUUUGCAAAAACUAUGCAUGAGACUGAACUUUUGGAUUUAAGGGAUAAAAAACUAUAAAAUACCAAAUCCAAAAGUUCAGUCUCAUUUAAAACAAUUAAGAACCCAAAAUAACCCAUUUAAAGCAACAAAAGAAAAAAGAGAGUAGCCCAAUAGGCCCAUGUUGUUAAUUAAACAACUUAUGCGGCGCAUAACGGAUGAUUCUACGAUCAAAACUGGAAAUAGAUGCCCAUAAAAUUACGAAGAAAAUCAUGUGCCUAAAGCAUAUAUGAGCUUUAGCUGCUUCAGGUCAGAGCCGGCUCUGAUUGCUAGCAUUUUAAACCAAUCACGGAAAUGGUUCGGCAAAAUGUUUCUAUUUUAUUUAAUGUAUUUAUUUUAAAUACGGAAAUAAAUUUUAUGAAAGAAUCCAUCAAACACGUUAUAGCCGUGCUUUAUAGCUAUUUGUAGCAAGAGCAAAUGUACCACACCACACCGUCCAACAACUACAACCGUUCAAUUUCUAGUUCUUUUUUCUUCACGUGUCACGAAAACUUGAAAUGAAAACGAAAUGAUUUUCCAAACAAAAGAGGAAAGAUCUUGCAAAUCAGAUAACUCGAAACUUUUAUUUACGGUGUAUCUUCUAAACAAUCCUUUAAAUUUCAUUUUAUAAUUUAAUUACUUUGCAAACAAGCAGAUUUACAUUUUAACCGAAAAUACAAUUAAUGUCUUAGGUUCAACUUCACGGUGAAAUAUGUUCCACAUGUUUAUUGGGUUCAAACUCGAACCGAUAUUUAUUGAGCGCUUAAAAUGAAAUAUUUAAAUUCUGUCCAACGUCAAAAUAAUUUGAGAUACUAACAAGAAACCUUCGGUAGUUGAUGGUAAUCAAUUUGGAAAAGAAUAUAUUUUAUGGUGACUUGGGACCGAAGAAAAUUACAAAAGAUAUGAAGAUUUUUAUUAAGUUUCCGUGUUGUAUUUCGCUUGCUAUUAUGUGAGUUCUUGGUUAUAAAUGCCGCUUCUUCCUUCAUGGUUUCUUACUUCAUCAUCACGCAAUCUCUUGAUUCACGAUGAGUUUCUGCAAAUUGGUUUCUUUUGUUUUGAUCCUUCACUUACUAAACUCGUGUCUGAUUUCAUGUUCCUCGAAUGAUUUGUCUCAAAUUCCUAAAAAUUUCCUUAGUCUAGCUAAAAGAGAAGAUUUUUUCGAUUGGAUGGUUGGAAUAAGAAGGAGGAUCCACGAGAACCCAGAGUUAGGUUACGAGGAAGUAGAGACAUCUAAGCUAGUCAAGACAGAAUUGGACAAGAUGGGUGUGUCUUAUAAGAAUCCAGUUGCUGUAACUGGUGUUAUUGGAUAUGUUGGAACUGGCCAUGCCCCCUUUGUUGCUUUGAGGGCUGAUAUGGAUGCACUUCCUAUUCAGGUAUAAUAAGGUUUUCAUUUACAAAGUUUUUGAAUCUAUUCCCUUCAAGCCCAAAUUAUUUAAUCACUGAUCAUAUUUUGCUAGUCGAAAUGGUGUCAUGUUUUAAAUUUGUUUUUUUUCUGAAUAUUUGUUUUAGUACAACAAACAAUACUAACUGGCAUUUAAGAUAUAACCAUUAUCAUUUGACUUAUGGAUCAGAUUUCUUAUGUGAUUUUAAAUUACUUGAGUUGCAAGCUAGUGGAUUCUUAUUGAACAUGGUAAUGAUGGAAUUGUGUAGGAAAUGGUGGAAUGGGAACACAAGAGUAAGAUUCCAGGGAAGAUGCACGCUUGCGGACAUGACGCUCACACUACGAUGCUCCUCGGUGCUGCAAAGUUGCUCAAAGAACACCAAGAAGAGCUACAGGUUUAGUAUUGUAUUGUGCUGUAUUUUUUAGCUAAUAACAUUUUCAAACUGUUGCAAUCAUCAGGUUGUUUGGUUUCUUAUUAACACUUGUUGGACAUUUUAUUCAUCAUGGUACAGUGAUUCUGGUUUUCCAACCAGCUGAGGAAGGAGGAGCAGGUGCAAAGAAAAUCGUGGAGGCUGGAGUAUUGGAGAAUGUGGGUGCAAUCUUUGGAUUACAUGUUUCGAAUCUAUUGGGAUUAGGUCAACUGAGCUCAAGAGAGGGUCUAUUGAUGGCUGGUAGUGGACGUUUCAAAGCUACGAUAAGCGGGAAAGGAGGUCAUGCAGCUCUUCCUCAAUUCGCCAUAGAUCCAGUAUUGGCAGCUUCAAAUGUUAUUCUGAGCUUACAACACCUCGUUUCACGAGAGGCAGAUCCUUUAGACUCGCAGGUAUAUAUAGUUACUCUUUUGGCUCUUCAAGAAAAGUGUCUCUUAUAUUAUAGGAUGUUGGUUGAUUUGAGUGCUUAC